rnacentral:rRNA from 1 species
AGAGUUUGAUCCUGGCUCAGAUUGAACGCUGGCGGCAUGCCUUACACAUGCAAGUCGAACGGUAACAGCACUUCGGUGGCUGACGAGUGGCGAACGGGUGAGUAAUACAUCGGAACGUGCCCGAGAGUGGGGGAUAACGCAGCGAAAGCUGUGCUAAUACCGCAUACGAUCUACGGAUGAAAGCAGGGGACCGCAAGGCCUUGCGCUCACGGAGCGGCCGAUGGCAGAUUAGGUAGUUGGUGGGAUAAAAGCUUACCAAGCCGACGAUCUGUAGCUGGUCUGAGAGGACGACCAGCCACACUGGGACUGAGACACGGCCCAGACUCCUACGGGAGGCAGCAGUGGGGAAUUUUGGACAAUGGGCGAAAGCUCUGAUACCAGCCAUGCCGCGUGCAGGAUGAAGGCCUU